rnacentral:misc_RNA from 1 species
GGGUGGCUCGCCUCAAAUGUAUUAGCUGGACUUGUUUGUGAGGAAUGGUUCUACUCGGCGUAAUGAGUAUUUCGCUGAGGACAUGGCUUCGGCUGUGGCCUUCCACUCGACGAUCGUCUGCUUUCCAACCCUGUUCUCCUCGGAGACGCACUUUUUUAUGAUCUGGCCUCAAAUCAGGUAGGACUACCCGCUGAACUUAA